CCCUUAGAUGUCCUGGGCUGCACGCGCGCUACACUGAUGUGUCCAGUAAGCACCUAACCUCUUCCGAAAGGAACGGGUAACCUUUGCAAAGCACAUCGUGAUGGGGAUAGAUUAUUGCAAUUAUUAGUCUUGAACGAGGAAUUCCUAGUAAGCACAAGUCAUCAGCUUGUGCUGAUUACGUCCCUGCCCUUUGUACACACCGCCCGUCGCUCCUACCGAUUGAAUGUUCCGGUGAGCUCUUCGGACUGCGCGGUCUGCAGUUUCUGCGUUCCGUGCGGAAAGUUGCGCAAACCUUAACAUUUAGAGGAAGGAGAAGUCGUAACA
rnacentral:rRNA from 1 species